rnacentral:rRNA from 1 species
GUCUACGGCCAUACCACUCUGAACGUGCCCGAUCUCAGACACUAAGCAGGGUUGGGCCUGGUUAGUAGUUGGAUGGGAAAAAUAACAGUAGCUAGGAUAUAUACU